CACGUGGAUAAUCUGCCCUCAGAUGAAGAAUAAUCCCGGGAAACUGGGGCUAAUGCUUCAUAGGAGACGGGUGCUGGAAUGCUCUGUCUCUGAAAGGUCCGCCGUCUGAGGAUGAGUCUGCGUCCGAUUAGGUUGUUGUUGGGGUAACGGCCCACCAAGCCUUUGAUCGGUACGGGUUGUGGGAGCAAGAGCCCGGAGAUGGAUUCUGAGACAUGAAUCCAGGCCCUACGGGGCGCAGCAGGCGCGAAAACUUUACAAUGCGAGCAAUCGUGAUAAGGAAACCCUGAGUGCCUGUUAUCGCAGGCUGUUCUGGUGUCUAACACACACCAGGAGAAAGGGCGGGGCAAGACCGGUGCCAGCCGCCGCGGUAAUACCGGCUGCUCGAGUGAUAGCCACUUUUACUGGGCUUAAAGCGUUCGUAGCUUGGUCGUUAAGUCUCUGGGGAAAUCUUUUGGCUCAACCAAAAGGCGUCUCAGGGAAACUGGCGACCUAGGAACCGGGAGAGGUAAGACGUACUUCGGGGGUAGGAGUGAAAUCUUGUAAUCCCCGAGGGACGACCGAUGGCGAAGGCAUCUUACCAGAACGGCUUCGACAGUGAGGG
rnacentral:rRNA from 1 species